GUGGGGAAUCUUGCGCAAUGGGCGAAAGCCUGACGCAGCCAUGCCGCGUGAAUGAUGAAGGUCUUAGGAUUGUAAAAUUCUUUCACCGGGGACGAUAAUGACGGUACCCGGAGAAGAAGCCCCGGCUAACUUCGUGCCAGCAGCCGCUGUAAUACGAAGGGGGCUAGCGUUGCUCGGAAUUACUGGGCGUAAAGGGCGCGUAGGCGGACAGUUUAGUCAGAGGUGAAAGCCCAGGGCUCAACCUUGGAAUUGCCUUUGAUACUGGCUGUCUUGAGUACGGGAGAGGUGAGUGGAACUCCGAGUGUAGAGGUGAAAUUCGUAGAUAUUCGGAAGAACACCAGUGGCGAAGGCGACUCACUGGCCCGUUACUGACGCUGAGGCGCGAAAGCGUGGGGAGCAAACAGGAUUAGAUACCCCGGUAGUCC
rnacentral:rRNA from 1 species